CCCCCCUCCCCUGUGACCGGGCCCAGCUGCCGUAGGGAGCUGUGGGGGCGGGGCCUGCAGGUGCAAGCUGCGCGCCUGGCCGCCCCUGACCCUAGGAGCCAGGGGGGUCCCACGGGCCGCUUCCCGGGAGCCGCCCCCGGCCACUGCUGCUUGGGCCUUGCUCCUGCACCCAGCAGGUCCCUCUGGCUGCUAGGGUCAGGGGCGGCCAGGGGGCUCAGCAGGCUGCUUGUGCCCCCAGGCCCCGCUGCCACAACUCCCAUGGGCUGUGGUGCCCUGCUAAUGGGAGCUGCAGAGCUGGCGCUUGUGGCGGGCACAGGACGUAGAGACCCGAGUCUAGGCGCCAGAGGGCCCUGCUGGCUGCUUCCUGGGAGCCACCUCAGGGAACUGAGGUGACUGUCAGCUGGGCUGAGCCAGCAGUGUGGCCUGGACUGGAACUGGGAUCAUGCGCUCGUGGCUUGCAGCAGGGGCCGUACACCCCCUUCACAGCUUCCCUUUCCCAUGGCGCCAGUUCGGGAUGUGACUGCUCUCACCCUCCCCCCUCCCCGCCCAUGUGUCUUGAUAUUUUGCUUUUGUGAUCUGAUCACCCAAUCCCCAGCUACCUUUGAAUUUAUCUUCCUUAGCACCCAGCUCUCUCUGGUGUGAAACUGCUCAGUCAACUAUAUCUGCUACAAACGCCAGCAUUGCUCUUGGCUGGAGUAGAUGGGAGGUAGUGGAUCUCCUGGGCCUGUAGGAAGAGGUGGCUGUGCAGGCACAGCUUUCGACCAAUUAAAAACCAUGCACAGCUGUUGCACAGGGGAUGGAGGUGAAUCGAUACAACAGGGAGCAGCAGCACCACCUGAAAGCAAAGGAACUGUAGCAGGCAUAUACUAUAAGGACAGGUAGACCAUUGGCUAACAAUCAAGCUGGUGCUGAGCCACAAACCUGCUGCUUUUACAAUGAGCUGCAUGCCAUACUUGGCAGAGAUACAGCCCCCCACCCCCAGCAUUAUGGAUACCUCUCAGGAGCCUGAGACACAGCUCUCUACUGUUAACAGUGAAGACAAGGAGAGGGAAACAUGGGGGACAACUAGCUGUGCCUCAAGUCAGGAGCUUUUCAAAACUCCACUGCAGUUUAGCCAGUCCACCAGCCAAGCAUGGAUGAGCCUACAGAAGAGAAAAAGAAUGUCAGCUACUGCGGUUGCAGCCUUGAGAGGUCCCCCUCCACACCUAUGAAAUGUGUGAAACACCUAUGAAACACCUGACCUUAAUGAGGGAAGAGAAAGAAGUGGACUAAGGAGGACAUGUUGUCAGCAAAAUCCUGCAAGUCAGUGACGCAUCGGACUGUGAAAAGAGGGCCUAGAGGGUGAAUAUGGUAGACAGCCUGUAGAAAGACUCGGGAAAAGACCCAGCAGGAAAAAGAAACGGAGAUGCACCAGGACACAAUGCAGAUUCUUAAGCAGCAAACACAUGCUGCAGACUUUUGUUGAUGUACAAGCAGAGGCAAUACUAGAAUAACUAGUUUGGAGAAGUGAAGGAGUGGUGAAUACAAUUAUUGGGGGAGCAAGAAUUUUGCUACACAUACUUCAUAGAAUGGGGAUAAAUAAUAUUGAUAAUUUGUUUACCUUAUUGAAACUCAAUACGCUUGUGAGCAGCAACAAAUGUCAAUGACUGUCUUCAGAUCGAGAAAACUUUUUUCAAUACCAAUGACAGCCAAGUUCCUUAACCAGUCACUUGUCAUGCAGUUCCUUGGGUAAUCUUUCACCCGUGAAAGGCAUGAGAAUGUUCUUUCAUGUGUAGCACUUGGAGAAAUACUCACAUGAGUCACAAAUAAUUUACUCAGUUCAUGAAAGACAAGUUUGUAUUUAUCAAAACAAUUAGCAGCUGCAACAAACGGUCAAUCUUUGAUUUCUUCAUAAAAUUCAAUUACUUUUGACAAGAGUACCUUGGUCUAUAUUGCAUCCAUAGUAUUCUGCAAGUGGUUUUAAUUUUAGGAAAGUCAAGAAAGUUAUCAGACUGUGGAUUAAGGUAAUUGAUACCAACAAGAACAGAUUUAUUUUCAGAAAAGCUUUGCAGUUCUUUUUCAAGCAAUGGCAAAAAGGCAUGUUUCCUGAAGUCUCUAUCUAAAAAUGUUCUCCACUUCACACUUCUUCAGUCCACAUGUAUUCCUGAUGGUUUUUAGGCAACUUUCGUACAUGACUGUGUAGUCCCCAAACUUCAGGUGGCUUCAGACCAUUUUCUGAUGUUAUGUUAACAGCUUCACUCCAUAUUUCAUUAAAUGCCUCUUCCAAAUCUCUCAUGUUCAGAAAUUCACUGAUGAGGGUGUCCACAGAAAAGCAUGCCUGAGACAAGUCAUAGUCCUGCUUGCAAAUAGUCAGAUAUAACUUUAAGCAGUUGAAGUAUUUUUGUGAACCUGCAAAGGAGGACAAUAAACUCAGUCUGAUACUGAA